CGCUAGCUACAGGCUUAACACAUGCAAGUCGAGGGGCAUCAGGAAGAAAGCUUGCUUUCUUUGCUGGCGACCGGCGCACGGGUGAGUAACACGUAUCCAACCUGCCCUUUACUCGGGGAUAGCCUUUCGAAAGAAAGAUUAAUACCCGAUGGCAUAAUGAUUCCGCAUGGUUUCAUUAUUAAAGGAUUCCGGUAAAGGAUGGGGAUGCGUUCCAUUAGGUUGUUGGUGGGGUAACGGCUCACCAAGCCUUCGAUGGAUAGGGGUUCUGAGAGGAAGGUCCCCCACAUUGGAACUGAGACACGGUCCAAACUCCUACGGGAGGCAGCAGUGAGGAAUAUUGGUCAAUGGGCGCUAGCCUGAACCAGCCAAGUAGCGUGAAGGAUGAAGGCUCUAUGGGUCGUAAACUUCUUUUAUAUAAGAAUAAAGUGCAGUAUGUAUACUGUUUUGUAUGUAUUAUAUGAAUAAGGAUCGGCUAACUCCGUGCCAGCAGCCGCGGUAAUACGGAGGAUCCGAGCGUUAUCCGGAUUUAUUGGGUUUAAAGGGAGCGUAGGUGGACUGGUAAGUCAGUUGUGAAAGUUUGCGGCUCAACCGUAAAAUUGCAGUUGAUACUGUCAGUCUUGAGUACAGUAGAGGUGGGCGGAAUUCGUGGUGUAGCGGUGAAAUGCUUAGAUAUCACGAAGAACUCCGAUUGCGAAGGCAGCUCACUGGACUGCAACUGACACUGAUGCUCGAAAGUGUGGGUAUCAAACAGGAUUAGAUACCCUGGUAGUCCACACAGUAAACGAUGAAUACUCGCUGUUUGCGAUAUACAGUAAGCGGCCAAGCGAAAGCAUUAAGUAUUCCACCUGGGGAGUACGCCGGCAACGGUGAAACUCAAAGGAAUUGACGGGGGCCCGCACAAGCGGAGGAACAUGUGGUUUAAUUCGAUGAUACGCGAGGAACCUUACCCGGGCUUAAAUUGCAGUGGAAUGAUGUGGAAACAUGUCAGUGAGCAAUCACCGCUGUGAAGGUGCUGCAUGGUUGUCGUCAGCUCGUGCCGUGAGGUGUCGGCUUAAGUGCCAUAACGAGCGCAACCCUUAUCUUUAGUUACUAACAGGUUAUGCUGAGGACUCUAGAGAGACUGCCGUCGUAAGAUGUGAGGAAGGUGGGGAUGACGUCAAAUCAGCACGGCCCUUACGUCCGGGGCUACACACGUGUUACAAUGGGGGGUACAGAAGGCAGCUAGCGGGUGACCGUAUGCUAAUCCCAAAAUCCUCUCUCAGUUCGGAUCGAAGUCUGCAACCCGACUUCGUGAAGCUGGAUUCGCUAGUAAUCGCGCAUCAGCCACGGCGCGGUGAAUACGUUCCCGGGCCUUGUACACACCGCCCGUCAAGCCAUGGGAGCCGGGGGUACAAGAAGUACGUAACCGCAAGGAUCGUCCUAGGGUAAAACUGGA
rnacentral:rRNA from 1 species